rnacentral:sRNA from 1 species
GCCGGGCGCGGUGGCGCACGCCUGCCAUCCCAGCGGCUUGGGAGGCUGAGGCAGGAGGAUCACGAGUUCAGAGGCCAGCCUCAG